UUAUUUUGGCAGAUUAGUGCAAUGAAUUUAGAAUUCAUUAAUGUAAGAUAUUUACAAGUAAUA
rnacentral:tRNA from 1 species